rnacentral:rRNA from 1 species
GCUUGCUGCUUCGCUGACGAGUGGCGGACGGGUGAGUAAUGUCUGGGAAACUGCCUGAUGGAGGGGGAUAACUACUGGAAACGGUAGCUAAUACCGCAUAACGUCGCAAGACCAAAGAGGGGGACCUUCGGGCCUCUUGCCAUCGGAUGUGCCCAGAUGGGAUUAGCUAGUAGGUGGGGUAACGGCUCACCUAGGCGACGAUCCCUAGCUGGUCUGAGAGGAUGACCAGCCACACUGGAACUGAGACACGGUCCAGACUCCUACGGGAGGCAGCAGUGGGGAAUAUUGCACAAUGGGCGCAAGCCUGAUGCAGCCAUGCCGCGUGUAUGAAGAAGGCCUUCGGGUUGUAAAGUACUUUCAGCGGGGAGGAAGGCGAUAAGGUUAAUAACCUUGUCGAUUGACGUUACCCGCAGAAGAAGCACCGGCUAACUCCGUGCCAGCAGCCGCGGUAAUACGGAGGGUGCAAGCGUUAAUCGGAAUUACUGGGCGUAAAGCGCACGCAGGCGGUCUGUCAAGUCGGAUGUGAAAUCCCCGGGCUCAACCUGGGAACUGCAUUCGAAACUGGCAGGCUAGAGUCUUGUAGAGGGGGGUAGAAUUCCAGGUGUAGCGGUGAAAUGCGUAGAGAUCUGGAGGAAUACCGGUGGCGAAGGCGGCCCCCUGGACAAAGACUGACGCUCAGGUGCGAAAGCGUGGGGAGCAAACAGGAUUAGAUACCCUGGUAGUCCACGCCGUAAACGAUGUCGACUUGGAGGUUGUGCCCUUGAGGCGUGGCUUCCGGAGCUAACGCGUUAAGUCGACCGCCUGGGGAGUACGGCCGCAAGGUUAAAACUCAAAUGAAUUGACGGGGGCCCGCACAAGCGGUGGAGCAUGUGGUUUAAUUCGAUGCAACGCGAAGAACCUUACCUACUCUUGACAUCCAGAGAACUUUCCAGAGAUGGAUUGGUGCCUUCGGGAACUCUGAGACAGGUGCUGCAUGGCUGUCGUCAGCUCGUGUUGUGAAAUGUUGGGUUAAGUCCCGCAACGAGCGCAACCCUUAUCCUUUGUUGCCAGCGGUUAGGCCGGGAACUCAAAGGAGACUGCCAGUGAUAAACUGGAGGAAGGUGGGGAUGAUGUCAAGUCAUCAUGGCCCUUACGAGUAGGGCUACACACGUGCUACAAUGGCGCAUACAAAGAGAAGCGACCUCGCGAGAGCAAGCGGACCUCAUAAAGUGCGUCGUAGUCCGGAUUGGAGUCUGCAACUCGACUCCAUGAAGUCGGAAUCGCUAGUAAUCGUGGAUCAGAAUGCCACGGUGAAUACGUUCCCGGGCCUUGUACACACCGCCCGUCACACCAUGGGAGUGGGUUGCAAAAGAAG